rnacentral:rRNA from 1 species
UGGGGAAUAUUGGACAAUGGGCGAAAGCCUGAUCCAGCCAUGCCGCGUGUGUGAAGAAGGUCUUCGGAUUGUAAAGCACUUUAAGUUGGGAGGAAGGGCAGUUACCUAAUACGUGAUUGUUUUGACGUUACCGACAGAAUAAGCACCGGCUAACUCUGUGCCAGCAGCCGCGGUAAUACAGAGGGUGCAAGCGUUAAUCGGAAUUACUGGGCGUAAAGCGCGCGUAGGUGGUUAGUUAAGUUGGAUGUGAAAUCCCCGGGCUCAACCUGGGAACUGCAUUCAAAACUGACUGACUAGAGUAUGGUAGAGGGUGGUGGAAUUUCCUGUGUAGCGGUGAAAUGCGUAGAUAUAGGAAGGAACACCAGUGGCGAAGGCGACCACCUGGACUGAUACUGACACUGAGGUGCGAAAGCGUGGGGAGCAAACAGGAUUAGAUACCCCCGUAGUCCCUGAGCGGGCUGGCAAGGCGCAU